rnacentral:rRNA from 1 species
AACGAACGCUGGCGGCAUGCCUAACACAUGCAAGUCGAACGAGACCUUCGGGUCUAGUGGCGCACGGGUGCGUAACGCGUGGGAACCUGCCCUUAGGUUCGGAAUAACUCCCCGAAAGGGGUGCUAAUACCGGAUAAUGUCUUCGGACCAAAGAUUUAUCGCCUUUGGAUGGGCCCGCGUUGGAUUAGCUAGUUGGUAGGGUAAAAGCCUACCAAGGCGACGAUCCAUAGCUGGUCUGAGAGGAUGAUCAGCCACACUGGGACUGAGACGCGGCCCAGACUCCUACGGGAGGCAGCAGUGGGGAAUAGUGGACAAUGGGCGAAAGGCUGAUCGAGCAAUGCCGCGUGAGUGAUGAAGGCCUUAGGGUUGUAAAGCUCUUUUACCCGGGAUGAUAAUGACAGUACCGGGAGAAUAAGCUCCGGCUAACUCCGUG